rnacentral:rRNA from 1 species
AGACAGCUAGGAUGUUGGCUUGGAAGCAGCCAUUCAUUUAAAGAGUGCGUAACAGCUCACUAGUCGAGGAGUUCUGCGUGGAUAAUAAUCGGGCAUAAGCCGUUUACCGAAGCUGUGGAAUUGGCAACAAUUGGUAGGGGAGCAUUCCAUGAGCCGCAGAAGGUUUUCCUUGAGGAAUGCUGGAGGUAAUGGAAAAGCAAAUGUAGGUAUAAGUAACGAUAAAGAGGGCGAGAACCCCUCUCGCCGAAAGACCAAGGGUUCCUGAUCAACGCUAAUCGGAUCAGGGUAAGUCGGGCCCUAAGGCGCAGCCGAACGGCGCAGCCGAUGGCAGAAACGGUUAAUAUUCCGUUACUAUGAUACGGAGUGACGAGGAGACGGAGAAGUGACACUCUCGCCUGCUGACGGAAUAGCAGGUUGAACGGAGUAGAUAAUGACAUGGUAGGCAAAUCCGCCGUGGCAGUCGAACCGGAUAGUACUGGGCGCCCCCGGGCAACCAGAUAGCAGAGGUAAUCAGGCUCCCGAGAAAAUCCCCUAAACAUAUGCGUAUCAUACCCGUACCCGAAACGGACACACGUGGUUGAGUAGAAAAUACUAAGGCGCUCGAGCGACUCACGGUUAAGGAACUAGGCAAAUUGACCCUGUAACUUCGGGACAAAGGGUCCCUCCCAGGCGGGAGGGCGCAGAGAAUAGGUCCAGGCAACUGUUUAACAAAAACACAGGGCUGUGCAAAAUUGCAAGAUGAAGUAUACAGCCUGACACCUGCCCGGUGCUGGAAGGUUAAGAGGAGAUGUCAUCGCAAGAGAAGCAUUGAAUUGAAGCCCCAGUAAACGGCGGCCGUAACUAUAACGGUCCUAAGGUAGCGAAAUUCCUUGUCGGGUAAGUUCCGACCUGCACGAAUGGUGUAAUGAUCUGGACACUGUCUCAACCGUGAACUCGGUGAAAUUGUAGUAUCGGUGAAGAUGCCGAUUACCCGCAACGGGACGGAAAGACCCCGUGAACCUUUACUGCAACUUAACAUUGAAUUUGGGUAACUGAUGUGUAGGAUAGUCCGGAGACAGAGAAAUGGAUACGCCAGUAUUCAUGGAGUCACCCUUGAAAUACGGACCUUUGGUUAUUUGAGUUCUAACCCGUAGGAUAUGGGGACACUGUUUGGUGGGUAGUUUGACUGGGGUGGUCGCCUCCAAAAGCGUAACGGAGGCUUCUAAAGGUACCCUCAGGCCGAUUGGUAACCGGCCGAAGAGUGUAAUGGCACAAGGGUGCUUGACUGAGAGACCGACAAGUCGAUCAGGUAGGAAACUAGAGCAUAGUGAUCCGGUGGUUCCGCAUGGAAGGGCCAUCGCUCAAAGGAUAAAAGGUACUCCGGGGAUAACAGGCUGAUCGCUCCCAAGAGCUCAUAUCGACGGAGCGGUUUGGCACCUCGAUGUCGGCUCGUCACAUCCUGGGGCUGGAGAAGGUCCCAAGGGUUGGGCUGUUCGCCCAUUAAAGUGGCACGCGAGCUGGGUUCAGAACGUCGUGAGACAGUUCGGUCCCUAUCUGUUGUGGGCGUAGGAAAUUUGAGGAGACCUGACACUAGUACGAGAGGACCGUGUUGGACAGACCGCUGGUUUAUCAGUUGUUCCGCCAGGAGCACCGCUGAGUAUCUAAGUCUGGAAAGGAUAAGUGCUGAAAGCAUCUAAGUACGAAGCCAGCUUCAAGAUGAGAUUUCCCUGAAGGGUCGUUGCAGACGACGACGUAGAUAGGUUGCAGAUGUAAAGGCGGUAACGUCAAAGUCGAGCAAUACUAAUCACCCGAGACUUUCCGCUG